rnacentral:rRNA from 1 species
UACGAAGGGGGCUAGCGUUGUUCGGAAUUACUGGGCGUAAAGGGCGCGUAGGCGGUGUGUCAAGUCAGGCGUGAAAGCCCCGGGCUCAACCUGGGAACAGCGCUUGAGACGGGCACGCUCGAGUUCGGGAGAGGAUGGUGGAAUUCCCAGUGUAGAGGUGAAAUUCGUAGAUAUUGGGAAGAACACCGAUGGCGAAGGCAGCCAUCUGGACCGACACUGACGCUGAGGCGCGAAAGCGUGGGGAGCAA